AUCUGCCGUUUUCAACAUCAAGGAUCCCCUCCCCCCCCACGUUCGUCUUCUUCUCCAAGACUCACCCCAAUUUCCGUUAAAGAAGGUCGGCCACCAACCUAAGAAAGGAAAAGGCAGCCAAUUAACUCCUCCAUUCUAGAGGAUAUCCGCUGCUACUGCCAUCGGAUUUCACCACUGGUUGGCAGUCACCUUACCUCCCUGUACCACGCCGGCAGUGACCACCAUCGCCGAUGACCCCUCCAUCUCCCAACAACCUUUCUCCACCCCUGUUUCAACCUCGAAACUAUCCAGAUCUAGCUAAAACACACCCAAACUUCAGCCAUGAAACAAUCUUAAAUCAGUCACAAAAAAUCAUGUAAAAAUUGACUUCCCCCGCUAGAGUGAAGAGGAGUUUCGAGAGAGGUGUUCGAGGUCGCCGUUCAAGUUUACGGCGAAAUUUCCAUUUCGAAUUUUGUUGACAGAGUCUUACCUUUGCUAAUAGAUCGAUACUCCUCUGUACAAGUCUGCCUUUAGCAAUAUCAAAGAAAGCUUACUGCUUUGAGGUUCAUUCUUGUCUUUUCUUUUCUCUUUUUCUUUUCUUCAAGUUUUAUUAACUUAUAUGCCUACAAGAUCUUGUUUGUUAAUAUACUAUGGAUUUGUAUUGAAUAUCCUAUGUUUUGUUUGUGGAUUCUCCUUCUUGAACUACUAAAUUAGUAUUUGUUCAUAUGAUUAUCGUCUAUAUGUGCUAGAGAAGGAAAUUGAAGAAAAAUUUUACUUGAAGUUUGGUAGAACAUUAAUUGUUUGUUAAUUUGAAUUAAGACUUAACGUGAUUAAAUCAAUGAGAUACCUAUUUAAGUGGUAUUAGUUAUAAUUGUAACCAAGUAUGGGCUCAUUUAUGUACAUAUGCUUGUAUCACAAUUACUUUGCAUCAGUGAGCUUUCUAAGUUUAUAAUGCACACCAAACAUUAGGAAACACACAAAUAAGUUUCACGUUAUUUUAACUUUGCCAAUUACCAUAUUUGAGAUUUAGCUGCGUGUGAAACGACUUUUGAACAUCGUAACUUGUUUUAGGCGCAAUUAAUAAUAAAUCAUCGUGACUACGGGUACGGUUCCCAUGACGUAGUUGUGGCACAUAGUUUCUAAAUCCGGGGGUACAUUUAUGUGACCCGGCCACAAUUUCUAAUAAUGUUAAUAAAUUUAACAUGUUGUAGAUCGUGGGUACAGUUCCCGUGACAUGAUUCAUAAUGUGUACCAAACAAAUAAGUGUACGGCAAUCGUAACUUGUUCCAGAAUAAUUUCAUAAAUAAUUAAAAACGGUUAAAAAAUUAAAAAUGCACGUAGGUUUUAAAUGUGUAUUAAUCAUAUAAUUAAGUUAAUAAUAAUAGUUGAGCGACCGUGCUAAAACCACGGAACCCGGGAAUGCCUAACACCUUUUCUCGGGUUAACAGAAUUUCUUACCCGGAUUUUUGUGUUCGCGGACUGUAAAACAAAGUCAAUCUUUCCUCGAUUCGGGAUUUAAACCGGUGACUUGGGACACCAUAAAUUAUCCCAAGUGGCGACUCUGAAUUUAAUAUAAAUAAUCCGGUUUCGAUUGUCACUUAAAUUGGAAAAAACUCCCUUAUAUACCCCUUUCGGGGGUGUGAAAAAGGAGGUUUGACAGCUCUGGCGACUCUGCUGGGGAAAAGAACCCAGAACUUCUGGUUCAGGGUUCAAGAAUUCGAGCUUAGAAUAAUUGUUAUGUUUGACUUUAUUUAUUGUCUGAUUUUAUUUACAUGUUUGGCCCUAAUGUGAUAAAUGUUGUUUUUACCGCUUUGAUAUUAUCUAAACUGCAUAUAAACUGCUACGAAACACCUAUCUUCUAAUCUUCUUAGAAGUGCACGCUUGCAUGACUUCUUUCUGUUAGUGUCAUACCCUAAUUAGAAUGAGGUUCGGACAAGUUGCAAAGCCGGAUGAUCUUUUGGUUACCGGUACGCUGCCCCCCCCCCCCCGGCUCGAGUUGUCCGCUCGGGUAAGCCAGGUCUAGAAUAAUACACCCAGGUUUUAAACUUAGAAGAACUCAGCCUCAUGCCGGAUCCUUAGUAGGAACGCGUAUUUGCAUCAUAUGCAUUUGACUUUGGGAACUCAACACAGGGGUUGUGUCCGUCUAGGACAGGUGUACCCAAAAAAGUAAAAGACCAUCCUAAUGCAUUCUAUGUGCUACAUGUUGCAAUCUUCAAGGGUAAAAGGGGUCAUUUGGCGGACCAAUGAGGGUUGAGGAUAAAUGAAAGAAGAGGGUGAAGUGUAAAAAAUAAAGCAAGUAGGGCCCAGUUAUAAUUUUCUUUGACACUUUUUCAAGAAAAAAACAAAAAAAUAAAAAUGAAAAAUCCAAAACGAUUUUGCACUUUCCCAUCAUUUUACAAAAAAAAAAAAUCAAAAAAAGGAAAAAAAAAGAAAAUCCAAAAAGAGUUUACAUGUUUCAUUAUUUUUUUAAAAAAAAAUUCUCUAAAUUACUUGUGUUUAUAAUUCUCGCCCGUAUCCAAUCUGUCAGAACUACACGAACUUGAUUCUCGUCUCUCGGGGCGGGAUACGUAGGCAAACCACAUAGGGCCCGAUCUUGCUAGUGAGUCUUAGGUUCUUGGCUUCGUUGGGCCAAAUCUUGCAUUUUUAGCCACUUUUAGCCACAUAGGUUAAUUUUAGAAAAAUAGUCACAAUCAUGUCUUGCAUGUGUCCAACAGGAAGUGUUAUUGUCUCACAUAGUGUUCUAGGUCUUUAACUUUAUUUUGUCUAAUUUUCUCAUACAAGUGUGGAUCUACCUACCGGAGUUUGGGCAUGACAAAUGUCUUAGGACCAUCCAGUCAAGAUCGCUCAUUCAGGAGUUGCUUAAGGAGGUUUAUUUUUAUUUUUUAUUUUUUUGAAUCUGUUUUUCUUUAUAUGUCGUGUUUUACCUUCUAAUUUUGUACAGUAAUAUCGAGUGUUUUAUUAUUGUAUUUCCUAUUUUGUAUUGGAAAUAUAUGUUAUAAAUCAAAAAUCCCAAAAACAAA
rnacentral:lncRNA from 1 species